UUUUGGAUGAAGCACAUAGAAUUGUAUUACCUGAAUUUCACCAUCCUGUAAAUCCAGUCAUUGCCAUAUUCUUUUCUAGCCCUGACCAGUAAAUCUAUUCUUUACUUAUCAUGCUAACAACAACAACAACAACAGAGAGAGAAGCAAAAGUCUUGCUUAAAUGCUUUUAAUUGCUAUGCUGUCCACAUAUGCUCAUGAUGAGAAACACACCUCUCUCUUCUUCUACCAAUUGCUUGGCCUCCCUACUUCCAUUUUCUUAGUUUACUCCUAAGAGCCCAAUGUAAACCUGACAGUUUCUUUUAGAUGUUGGAACAAACUGUUUUCGUGAUUUUGAGUUUCUUAUCAGUGUGUAAAUGGCUCUAAAACAUCAGUUUAAGCUUUGUCCCUUUCCUGUUCCAGAUUUUGAGGUCUAGCAGGACAGGUACACAGAGGUUCAGCUUCUGGAUCAGAUCCUCCUGGUAUAGGGAGUUGGAUACAACCAACUCUACAACUCGUCUAUCUCUGGAGCCCAUUGGAGAUGUCAAGGCCACUGCACACUGUUUUUCUUUACUUUGGGUAGUGCAAAUAAACUGUCACCAGAAUUCCAUUCAGGAUGACACAUUACAUUCGGUAUGUCUUCUUAGAAUCCUCUGGGCUGUGACAGUAUCUCAGAAUUUCCUUGCUUUUGAACAUACUGAGUUUUGGACCAAGUAG
rnacentral:lncRNA from 1 species